rnacentral:rRNA from 1 species
AACCCCUGUGACAUACCACUUGUUGCCUCGGCGGAUCAGCCCGCUCCCGGUAAAACGGGACGGCCCGCCAGAGGACCCCUAAACUCUGUUUCUAUAUGUAACUUCUGAGUAAAACCAUAAAUAAAUCAAAACUUUCAACAACGGAUCUCUUGGUUCUGGCAUCGAUGAAGAACGCAGCAAAAUGCGAUAAGUAAUGUGAAUUGCAGAAUUCAGUGAAUCAUCGAAUCUUUGAACGCACAUUGCGCCCGCCAGUAUUCUGGCGGGCAUGCCUGUUCGAGCGUCAUUUCAACCCUCAAGCACAGCUUGGUGUUGGGACUCGCGUUAAUUCGCGUUCCCCAAAUUGAUUGGCGGUCACGUCGAGCUUCCAUAGCGUAGUAGUAAAACCCUCGUUACUGGUAAUCGUCGCGGCCACGCCGUUAAACCCCAACUUCUGAAUGUUGACCUCGGAUCAGGUAGGAAUACCCGCUGAACUUAAGCAUAUCAAUAAGCGGAGGA